AUAGAACAUAGGGGUAAAAUGCAGUUUUUGGCUUAUAACUCAAAAACCAAAGCAUUUUGAGGAAAUUUGACAUGGGAUAAAAAUGUUUAUCAGAUCAAUAUCUAUCUGCCCUGAAAUUUUCAGAUGAAUUGGACAAUCGGUUGUUGGCUUGCUGCCCUCCAAUUGGUAAUUUUUAAAGAAAUUUUGCCGUUUUUGGUUAUUAUCUUGAAUACUAUUAUAGAUAGAGAUAAACUGUAAAGAGCAAUAAUUUUCAGCAAAGUAAGAUCUACAAAUAAGUCAACAUGACCUAAAUGGUCAAUUGACCCCUUAAGGAGUUAUUGCCCUUUAUAGUCAAUUUUUAACAAUUUUCAUUAAUUCGGUAAAUUUAUGUCAAUUUUUACCAAAUAUUUUUCUCUGUUACUAAUGGGCAAGGUUCAUUAUAGAUAUAAUUGUAAGAAGCAAGAACGUUCAGUAAAGUAAGAACUUCAAACACAUCACCAUCACCAAAAUACAAUUUUGUCAUGAAUCCAUUUGUGUCCUUUGUUUAAUAUGCACAUAGACCAAGGUGAGCGACACAGGCUCUUUAGAGCCUCUAGUUUUUAAAGGCAGUGCUUUAAGGCCUGACUUUUAAGUCAUGAGGUUCAUCUUUUCAUACGCAAUCUUUGCAGGGGGUCUUUUGGCCAGAAAUAGAUCCGGAAAUGUUCGAAUUUAUCCUCUUCUUUUUAUGGUAUGAUAUGGUUUUUAUUUCUUUCAUUUACAUUGGGGACUAAAAAAACGAUCAGUGUGUUUUGUUUGUUUUAUAGAACUUGUUAUGAGUGUGUAUUUUGCAUUAUAAGCAGUCAACCUGACUACAAACUAUCAUUAUGUGUAUUCCGUGCGGAAAGAGGUCGGGUCAAUUUCGAGUGUUAUCUGACAUCUAAAGAUUCUUUAAUUAGUUCAGACGUUGAUAUAACAAUGAAAAGUCGACUGAACAUGAUUAAUAUUGCAUCUUCUAUAAUUCAAAGCGGAAUUCGGUUUAUGAACGAGAAACUGUAAAGCGUUUUCAAUUUCGGUAUUAGUUAUGUAUGUUGUCUACGUAUUAUCCUGGUUCCCGGUACUACGUUCCGGGUAUUAGCUUUUUGUGUAUGUGAUGUGUAACAUUACGAUCGGGUACCAGCCAAUCUACGUGUGUAUGUGUACAUGAUUUCCCGCCAAAAUGACCGUUUUACAGCUUUGGAAAAAAUAGUUCACAAACGUUCCGUAUAAUGAUAUCAAAUUCAUAAUUAAUCGUAACUUUUUUUUAUCUUUGUAUAAUAAAUAUAACAAAAUGGAUUCCACAAAAUUGAAAAUAGCAUUAUUUUACGAGGAUUUCUCAUAUUUUUCUCACUUCCGGCGCAGUAAUACGUAUGUUUCGAAGAAGCUCGAAGAAUUUGACAAAGUGAAUUGAGAAGGAAACGGAUAGAUUUACGUCCUUGCUAUCAGGGCACAAACCCACUUUAAAGACACUUGUCUACUGCCAUACCCAUCCUAAUUUCAUGCACCAUUUGCAAGCAAGAGACUGAAUGGUUUGCAAAAUUAAAAAUCAGGACGGUGUCCAAUUAAAACAAAAGAACUAAACUGGAUGAAUAUUGUAGGAGAAAUCUAGAGGAAAGUUUUGAUUUGUGAAAUUGGUUUUCCUGAAAAGCCAUUCAUCCUAGCCUGCAGAAAGGAACUAUAACUGUCCACCACCAACUGACGAGCUAAUGUUGAGCUUCACAUAUGGAAUUAAUCAAAUACCAUCAACGUUUGUGUUUUCAGCACAGAUUUCACAAGUUAUGACACAGCUGUGUUUUUUUAUACCUGUUUAUAGAGUUGUAUACUAAAUUUUAUUUUUUUUAUCAAUAAAUAUAUAUUGUGUCA